rnacentral:miRNA from 1 species
GGUCAGCUGACACAUCCCUGCCAAUCUCCGGCAGACCCUCCCUCCCAGACCCUCCUACUUCCUAGACAGCAUCCAUGUUGAAGGCAGCUUCAACAUGGAUGCUGUCCAGGAGGUGGGAGGGUCUGGGAGGGAGGGUCUGCCGGAGAUUGGCAGGGAUGUGUCAGCUG